rnacentral:rRNA from 1 species
AUUGAACGCUGGCGGCAUGCUUUACACAUGCAAGUCGAACGGUAACAGGGAGCUUGCUCCGCUGACGAGUGGCGAACGGGUGAGUAAUGCGUCGGAACGUGCCGAGUAGUGGGGGAUAACGCAGCGAAAGUUGUGCUAAUACCGCAUACGUACUGAGGUAGAAAGUGGGGGACCUUCGGGCCUCACGCUAUUCGAGCGGCCGACGUCUGAUUAGCUAGUAGGUGAGGUAAAGGCUCACCUAGGCGACGAUCAGUAGCGGGUCUGAGAGGAUGAUCCGCCACACUGGGACUGAGACACGGCGCAGGCUCCUACGGGAGGCAGAAGUGGGGAAUUUUGGACAAUGGGCGAAAGCCUGGUCCAGCCAUGCCGCGUGUCUGAAGAAGGCCUUCGGGUUGUAAAGGACGUUUGUCGGGGAGGAAAUCCCCAGCGCUAAUACCGCUGGGGGAUGACAGUACCUGAAGAAUAAGCACCGGCUAACUACGUGCCAGCCGCCGCGGUAACAC